GACAGAGGAGCCAAGCGUUGUCCGGACUGACUGGGCGUAAAGCGCCCGCAGGCGGCCGUGCACGUGGGGUGUGAAAGCGCUCGGCUUAACUGAGCGAGGCCAUCCCAUACGGCGCGGCUCGAGCCGUCCAGAGGCCGGUGGAAUUGCCGGUGUAGUGGUGAAAUUCGUAGAUAUCGGGAGGAACACCGGUGGCGAAGGCGGCGAUCUGGGUCGAUACUGACGCUGAGACGCGAAAGCGUGGGGAGCGAACAGG
rnacentral:rRNA from 1 species